UAUAGUGGCAUCAAAGCUAGGAUAAAAGAAGGUUGCAAUAGAUUGAUCGCUAACAUAAAAUUUUAUCUAAAUCCCAAAACACAAAGGAAGUAAAAGAAAAGGGACAUAUGUGGCAGAGCCAGCACCCGACGAGGGGGCGCGACCACGCGUGCUGGACUCCGUCGGACCUUUUAGUAUGCCGAGCACCAGUUGCUGAGGGGAGCGAUGGAAGUUGGAACAGUGGUCUGUGGAAGAAAGGGAAAAUCGAAGAAGAUGACUACAGCAAUUGGGCCUAAGUUUUUCUUUUUCUUUAAAAAAAGUUUUGCCAUUGUUUGGGCUCGCCUUUUUUUCUUUCAAUAAAAAAUAGGCCCAAUGGCUCCAAAUCCAAUCCAUGGUCUAUGAUAUAUAUGUAUUUCCUGCCACCAGUGUACCAAAUUACCAAUUAGGCAAUUACCAAACGAAUCGAAGCAGUGCAGACAAGGAGAAGCAAGACGCGCCGCUGCCGGUCAUUCUCCACCUUUCCUAGCUCGAUUUUCGAAGCUGGUCGUCCGCUACAGACUCGAACUCUUGGAUGGACCUCUUGUAGCUACUGGCUGUGACUUUGUGAAUUGUGGUGAGCACCUUUUUCCUUCUAUCG
rnacentral:lncRNA from 1 species